GAAUUUAUUUACAUUCCAUGGCUCCUUCAUGGGCCUAAGCCAUGGUAUAGAACAGGUCAUAGUACAAAUACAAUGGAAUAGAAUAAAUUUAUUUACAUUCCAUAGAUCCUUCAUAGGCCUAAACCAAGGAUGUUGAACAGAAGGAUGAAAAAAUAUGGGGAGGAAGUGCCUACAUACAGAGAAAUGAGAAAAAUAAAGACAGUUGGAAUUAGGACUCAAUCUCAAGACCCACUUACCUCCAUGAAGCCCAGCAAGGAAUGCAGCACCCAACAUAGUCAUUUCGGAAGAUUCCGGCCUCUCCACCUUCAAACCUGUGAGGUCUGCUAGCAACUGGACCACAAAGUCAUUCUGAGACACGCCACCAUCCACUCUACUCCAUCACAAAAAUAUGAAAAGCAGAACCAUAAGUUGGAUUAGAGGAAACAACUUUGCUGUAUAAAGUAUACUUCUCUCUACAAGAGAGUAAUCAUAAAUUAUUCCAAGGAUAUGGACUCCCACCAAAACAAAUAAGUAUAACUUGAACAUGAGGAAACUAGUUAUCACAUAUACCAGAGAUCUUUUUUAUUGUGGGGAGAAGAGUGCACAGUUGGAAUGUAUAAAUUUGUUGUGCAAGUGUACGUUUAUGACAGCAAACUUGGGCUAUAAAAAUUUGCCACAAGUAAAAAUAAACUGUAUAGCAAGCACUGAA